rnacentral:lncRNA from 1 species
AACACAUGGGGUGCUGGGAGGAUGCUGUGCCCAGAGAAGAUGUGGAAGUCCCAGGGGCUCCCCUCCCCCUGACAUUGUCCUAUGCAUCUCUUCCAUUUGGCUGUUCCUGAGAUACAUACUUUGUAAUAAACUGGAGGACCUCCUCCCCAACAGUUAAAAGUUUCGGUCUCCUGGAUCUGCAUUGCAGGACUCAUAGAAAUCUGUGGCUUCCAAUCAAGAGUUUGCAACCCGAAAGACAGAAGACUCAAAGCUUUUAGGCAUCAUCUUCUAAGGUCAUCUUGACAGCCCUUGUACAUCUACCGUAUUUCCAACAGAAUUCUGUGAUUGGUAACUUGUAUGUUGUGCAAGUACUUCAUGAAUUAUUAUAAUUAUUAAAACUGAUCUUUGUCUUGGGCAAACCAAGCCUCAAUGUGCCUCUCAUGCCCACAGGCCCUUUUUUUUUCUUCUUCUUCUCCCCAGAGGCCCCCAGUACAUAGUUGUAUAUUCUAGUUGUAGGUCCUUCUAGUUGAGCUAUGUGGGAUGCCUCCUCAGCAUGGCUUGAUGAGCGGUCCUGGGUCUGUGCCCAGGAUCCCAAUGCAUGAGACCCUGGGCUACCAAAGUGGAGUGCAUGAACUUAACCACUCAGCCAAGUGGCCAGCCCCCUACAGGCCCUUUGAAGGUGAACUUGCCCAUCAUUCUUUGUUGCAAAGAAUAUUAGAGCAG